rnacentral:tRNA from 1 species
GGAUUGUGGCUCAGUGGCAGAGCACUUGCUUAGCAUGUGUGAGGCACUGGGUUCAAUGUCCAGCACCA